rnacentral:misc_RNA from 1 species
AACUUGCAGCAAUGUAUCACGUGGCUCUCGCAUCGAUUAAGAACGCAGCGAAAUGCGAUACGUAAUGUGAAUUGCAGAAUUCCGUGAAUCAUCGAAUCUUUGAACGCACCUUGCGCUCUCUGGUAUUCCAGAGAGCAUGCCUGUUUGAGUGUCUUUGAAUCAUCAACUCGACCGGCUUUGCCCGUUCGAGUUUUGGAAUUGGAGCGUGCCGGCCCUUUGAAGGGGGUUGGCUCCUCUCGAAACGAUUAGCGAAACCUGCGAGGCGGAUAGGCUUUUUGGUUUGAUAGAUGUCUAUGCCGCUGCCGUGAAGCCUCGCGGUCGCUUACAAUGGUCCCUCGGGACGACUUGGCCUUGCUGGCCUCAUUAUGUCUUGACCUCAAAUCAGGUAGGACUACCCGCUGAACUUAAGCAUAUCAAUAAGCGGAGGCU